CUCGUUCUGGGUAAAUAGAGUUUCUAUCAUUUAUGGUAGUUUCUGUUCCCGGAUAGUUUAGUUACGUAGCCAAUUGUGGAACUUUCUUGCUGAAAUUUUUAAGAAUACUAAUUGGGUAACCAAUUAGUUCUUUUAAAUUAUAACGAUUGUCAAUUAACAAUCAAUUCAGAACUGGCACGGACUUGGAGAAUCCGACUGUCUAAUUAAAACAAAGCACUGUGAUGGCCCUAGCGGGUGUUGACACAAUGUGAUUUCUGCCCAGUGCUCUGAAUGUCAAAGUGAAGAAAUUCAAGUAAGCGCGGGUCAACGGCGGGAGUAACUAUGACUCUCUUUCAGGAAGCAAACCAAAUGCCUCGUCAUCUAAUAAGUGACGCGCAUGAAUGGAUUAACGAGAUUCCUAGUGUCCCUAUCUACUCAGUUUA